UGUGGAUCUCAGGAGCUUCAUGAGAAUUCUACUUAUGUGGCAAGGGAGUAAAUCUUUCACAUGGUCUGCUGCCUACAAACAUAGGAGUACAGCAUUUGUAGGUUUAGUCCCCGAGUAUAUUCACACCUACUGUUAAGUUUCUUAACCCUCUUCAUCUUGUCACGUGAGCCACCAGACUCAAAGGUAAGCAUGUUGUGCUCCAUUAUUUCUGACUUGAAUCCCCCUGCCUCUAAUCUUCUCUGUGCCUGUUUCACUCACUUUCUGUAUGUACACCUUAGACCAUAAGAUAGGCACUUGCUGGGACCGUUUGGCAAUUCCUGCUACUAUCUUCCUGGCUCUCGAAGUAAUAAGCUAUAAUGUGACCUCCUCAAGAUGGCUCUUGCCUCAACUCUGUGCUUGCUAAUUGAGAAAUCCAUAGCACUUUUCAGACAUCAAUUAUCUGUGUAGCCUCCAGAUCAACCAAUUUUGGCUGCUUUUCUGAACUCUAGGUUAUUCCCCCUAGCUUUAUUGAAGUAAAAUUGAAGUACAAUAAAAUGCACAUAUUUGAAAUAUGCAAUUUGAUCAGCUUUGGCAUGUAUGUAACCAGUAAAUCAAUAUAAAAAACUUUUUCAUUAAUUUUUAAAAAUUUGAAAUCAUGCAUGUCAUGUUCUUUAAGAGAAAAACACUCAGGGUCACUCCAGGGGAACUGGACUGCACGAAAUAACCACACAUGAGACAGAGAUACCUUUUCCUUUGGGGGUCCUGUGAAGGCUCCUCUGACCUUAAGGGUCUGCAGAAAGAGAGCGAGCAAGCCCGUGCUAAACCCUUUUUUUGAGAAGAAGCCAUUCACAUGAGGCAAGGGGUCAGAUUUCAGGGGUUGAGUGUAGCUUCCUGAUGUCUGCUGUCAGCAGGUUGACUGACAUCUAAGAAGGCCACAACCAAAGGCAGAGUAAGAGAAUGAGACACACAAAGGGCGUUUCCAUGGAACAUUCUAUCCCAAACAGGGCAUAGGGGUAAUAUCACAAAGGAACAGGUGAGCAUAGCUCAAUCUAAGGAGCUACACACCUUAGUCUGAAGAAGCAUCCUCAAACUUCUGGGACCAGGACAAUGUCCAGGUCACUACAAGAUGUAGUGAUGGUCAAAGCCUUUCCGGUUCAGGGAAGGAGAAUGCGAGUCAUUCAGACUGGCUCCCCACACAUGCAGAUGGUGUUUCCUGCCUACAUGAUUACUUAACAUUAGAAAUCAAUCACCUUAAGAUAUAUAGAACCCCACCCCUACAUGUCAGCUAUUUCAAAACUAAACAUCACACUUAUACAUAUCUCAGUGGUCAAGGAAGAAAGCACAAGAAAAGAUGCAUCUCUAAUGGUUGAAGAAGUGGUGGAGGAUGGCAUGAGAGAGAGUACCUGAGGAUCCUUGCCUGGGACAAGUUAUGGAAAGAAAAUCUCACAGCUUGGGCAGUAGGAAAAGAGCCCUUUUAUCCGAUCUUGUCUUCCAGUUCAUUUUGAAUCAAGAAAGAUCCAUUGAAGACUCCUAUGAGAAAAGUCUGUUUUGAAGAAGGAAAAAGAAAUACUGUUUGAGAGAAGGCAAACAAACACAAAGGGUGAUAGAAGCAUGUCUUUUUGUUGUGUAUUUAACACCAAGAUAACUUCUAGAGUGAACAUAGAGAACUGAGAAGGGAGUAAAGAAUGACUGAAUUCUGUGGGUCUUGAUGAAAGAAUGCUGGUCUUCUAAUAUGGAAGAGAAAUUGGUACUUCAACCCAGGACUUUUUCUCUCUGCUGUGUACAGUUAUCACCAUCUGUGAACAUUCAGAACCACCUCUUUGUCCUGUGAAUGAUGGCACUCUUACUUCUAUUUCAAUAGUGCUUCCAAGAUGAAUUAAAGUUUGGUGUUUGCCAGAAUCUAAAAAGUACAGUCUAUGUAUUUGUUAUUAGAGCUUUGUGUUGUAUCCCGCUUACAUUUAAUAAUUUAUGGUGCUCAAGCACCAACUGUUGUGGGUUUUGUCAAUAAAUAUAAUUUUUUAAAAUAAA